rnacentral:rRNA from 1 species
CCUACGGGGGGCUGCAGUGAGGAAUAUUGGUCAAUGGGCGCGAGCCUGAACCAGCCAAGUCGCGUGAGGGAAGACGGCCCUACGGGUUGUAAACCUCUUUUGCCGGGGAGCAACGGGCGCCACGUGUGGCGCCACUGAGAGUACCCGGAGAAAAAGCAUCGGCUAACUCCGUGCCAGCAGCCGCGGUAAUACGGGGGAUGCGAGCGUUAUCCGGAUUUUUUGGGUUAAAGGGGUGCGUAGGCGGAGCGUUAAGUCAGUGGUAAAAUGGAGGGGCUCAACCCCUGCCCGCAAUUGAAACUGGGGGUCUUGAGUGGAAGAGAAGUAUGCGGAAUGCGUGGUGUAGCAGUGAAAUGCAUAGAUAUCACGCAGAACCCCGAUUGCGAAGGCAGGAUGCCGGCUUCCGACUGACGCUGAAGCACGAAAGCGUGGGGAUCGAACAGGAUUAGAUACCCGGGUAGUC